GGUGGAUGCCUUGGCAGUCAGAGGCGAUGAAAGACGUAGUAACUUGCGAUAAGCCCAGAUUAGGUAGUAACAACCAUUUGAGUCUGGGAUUUCUGAAUGGGGAAACCCACUUACAUAAGUAAGUAUCCUUACCUGAAUACAUAGGGUAAGGAGGCGAACCGGGGGAACUGAAACAUCUAAGUACCCCGAGGAAAAGAAAUCAACC
rnacentral:rRNA from 1 species